UACGUAGGGGGCAAGCGUUGUCCGGAAUCAUUGGGCGUAAAGAGCGUGUAGGCGGCUCGGUAAGUCCGCUGUAAAAGUCCAGGGCUCAACCCUGGAAAGCCGGUGGAAACUGUCGAGCUAGAGUCCGGAAGAGGCGAGUGGAAUUCCUGGUGUAGCGGUGAAAUGCGCAGAUAUCAGGAGGAACACCGGUGGCGAAGGCGGUUCUCUGGGCCUGUACUGACGCUGAGGAGCGAAAGCGUGGGGAGCGAACAGG
rnacentral:rRNA from 1 species